rnacentral:pre_miRNA from 9 species
UCUCGAUAGCGUAAAAGUUAACGCAAAUUUGUAUGCAGUUCGAAAGUUUUCCUACGUUUGCCGCCAGGGGCGCUGUUCCAACUCCAUACAAACUUGAGUUAACUUUUACGCUAUCGA